UACGGAGGGUGCGAGCGUUGUCCGGAAUCACUGGGCGUAAAGGGCGCGUAGGUGGCGCGACAAGUCAACGGUGAAAGCUCGGCGCUCAACGCCGAGUCGGCCGUCGAUACUGUUGGGCUUGAGCACUGUAGAGGCUAAUGGAAUUCCGGGGUGUAGCGGUGGAAUGCGUAGAGAUCCGGAAGAACACCGGUGGCGAAGGCGGUUAGCUGGGCAGUUGCUGACACUGAGGCGCGACAGCGUGGGGGAGCAAACAGGG
rnacentral:rRNA from 1 species